GGCGCAGUAAGUGGCAGAGUUGUGAUUCAAAUACAGAUCCAAGUAACUCCAAGGCUAAUGUCCUUUAACCAAAUACUGCCUUUCAGAUUGGAAAUAUUCAGAGUUUUUGUGGUGGCCAGCCUCCAAGAUUGUCCCCAGUGAUCGCCCUUCUUGGUAUUCUCAGCCUUGGAUUGUCCACCUCAUGAAAGUCCCUGAGCCAGAGCUACCUAGCCAAUUUACUUCCAGAUUCAGAACCCACAGAUACUGCUUGGAACGUGCUUCCUUGGGGAUUUCAUGUUCAUAUCAAUGACUGAUUUGGAAUUCGGAUUUGCCUUUGAAUGUUGGAGAGCAUGGAAUCAUGCAAGGAUCAGCAGACAGAUCCUGGGUGGUGAUCGUGAUGUACAGCUACACAAAAGAAAUGAAUGUCUUUUUUUCCCAAAAGAUGAUGUAUUACAAGAGUCACUACUAAAUCAGCAUCUACGUCAAC
rnacentral:lncRNA from 1 species